rfam:Absidia repens strain NRRL 1336 BCR42scaffold_4, whole genome shotgun sequence.
GGGCUUAUGGUGUAGUGGUAUCAUUCACGCUUUGGGUGCGUGAGGUCGGGAGUUCGAACCUCUCUGAGCCCC